rnacentral:lncRNA from 1 species
UUUAAAUAAUUCCUUAAGCAGCACUUGAUAAAUAUUUGAAAAAUAAAUAAUAGUUUCUCAGGAGAGCGGAUAAUGUUGUCUCUGACUAUGUGUUUGGCUAAACCAGAUCAGUUACAAAUCCAAAUACAAAUACAGAUCACUGAGCAAAUCUUAGGAGAACGUGAAUGUGUGCGUGUGCGCUGGAUGUCAGAGGUCGAUCUGCAUCCUCCUGAGCUGCUGGUGUGUAUGUGUGUGUGAUGUGUGCGACUGAAUGGCAUUCUGGGAAAUCAAGAUCUCUUCUUUGCUUUUGUGGCUGCGCUGUUGCUUCUUGACCUUUGACCUUUGUGUGGCUUUCUCUUUCUAGUUUGCCUCAGGUCCUAGAGCUUUACCACAACAGGUACUAACACACACACACUAUCUUACACACACACACACACACACACACACAAUCACAAGUACACACACAGACUCAAACAAGUUUUGAAUUUAUACUGCAUUAUCUAUUUCAACCACUAGGUGUCCUUCCUAGAAUAUAGAGUAUGUUUCUGCUAGAAAUGCUUGUUUGUUUGCAUGCAUCUGUGUUCCUCUAACUGUCUGUGCGGUGGGUAACACACACUCUUCAUCUCUCUUGCUCUUCUGCUGUGUGUGUGUGUGUGUGUGUGUGUGUGUGUGUGUGUGUGUGUGCGUGUGUGCGUGCGUUUGGUGCUGCUGAAGGGAGGAUUCAGGUCACUGCAGCCGUACUAUGCCGGUCGGCCCACUUUACCCACCAAUUCUGGGCGUGUCCAGACAAGCUCCGCCCCUCAGCCCAUUCCCCCUCCACAUGCAGCCCGCCCCCCUCACGUGUUCCAGCCUGGCCCCUCCCAGAUGAUGAUGAUUCCCCAGCAGCCAAUCAGCUUCCCCAACUCACAAGGCGCGGCUUAUUAUAUAUCUGGCCAGUACCGUCCUUCAUACGUGACCCCGCAGCAGUAUCAAGUGGCCAGCUCCACCGCUUUCUACCCCGGCACCAGCCCGGCUGAUUAUGCCGGAGCUUAUUAUCCUGCUCAGGCCCAGUUUACACCCUCUGUUGCUGCACCGCAAGUGAUCAUGAACCCCGCCCCCCAACAGCAGCAGGCCCCGCCUCCUCCUCCUCAGCAAGCUCCGCCCAGACGCGAACGCAAACAGGUCAGACUCAACUAUCAGUAUCUGUGUUUAACACUGCAUUAUUCACACACUUUUAAAAAGGCUUUUUCUAUAUCUGUGGUUUGGCAUUCAUCCAUACUAAAGACGCUUUUCCAAGUGGAUUAAUCUGAAACACAUGAUUAUGAUGAUGAUGAUUAGUCAUGUGAUUCAUUUGUACCCAUUAUGACGCAGUUAUAAUUAGCCUGUAAUUAAUGUUACAGCAAAAGCUCCACUUUUUUGGCGUUUUACAGCUCCCUUGUAGUUCAACAGGUGACUUUUUUUAAAUGCACAGUUAGCUUAGCUUAGCAAAACUCAUUGAAUCGGAUUAGACCAUUAGCAUCUCGCUCUAAAAUGGCAACAUUUUUGACAUUAUUUUAUUUAAAUAUCAUCAUCUUCAGCAGCUCAUACACGUUAAUGGACAGGCUGCUUCUCAGUCAGGGCUGUUUAUGCUAAUAAGGGAGAGAUGGUCAAAAGUGGGUGGGGCUUUUCCCCCUUCUGAUGACUCGUACAACGCCCUUUAAAUAGGUAAAUGAUCCAAAAAUGAUCAUUAUUCAAGAUGCUAAUGGUCUCAUUCAGAUUCAAUGAUCUGCAAAAUGAUUGACAGUUCACGUAACUAAGCAACAGAAUGGUCUGUUAAUGAGGUAGUAGUGUCCCAAAGCUUACACACUCUUCUCUUACACACUUAAAAGUAUGUUCAAGUUCAUAUGUUUAGUGCGUAAUAUGGGUUGGUGUUUUUGUCAAGCAGCAGUUUGUUUUUAGGAUGCUGUUGAGGUGAUGUUUUUAAAAGCCAAAUAUAUUGUUUGAUCUGACUCAUCAAAGACAGAACCUCAGAAUUAGAACUUUGGUUGCCGUGAUACAGGUUUCAUUUCCAUGGUAACAGCAUAGAAUCUAACCGACAGGUUCCAUAUGUUCCCAUUCAUUAUCUCCAUAGGUGAAUAUUUGUUUAAUGGCAGUAGGUCUGUCAUGAGCUGGAGAGAUUUGAACCCUUGUUGAAAUCAAAUCAUCAGUCUCUGCUUCUUUUUAUACUUAGUUUUUAAGGAAUUAAAUGUAACCAUGUCUUUUACCCUUUAAAAAAAAAAAAGAUGCUUUAUGUAUAUGUUUAUAUAUAUAACGUUACCCUAACAGGCCACUUUAUUAGGUACACCUUGCUAGUAUUGGGUUUGACUCCAUAUUGACUUUUGGAUUUUUUGGAUUUUGCUCUAUAUUGGCAUGAUAUCAUCACACAGUUGCUGCAGAUUUGUCGGCUGCACAUCCAUGAUGCCAAUCUCCCGCUCCACCACAUCGCGAAGCUGCUCAGUCUGAGAUGAUUCACGGUUUAUGACAUGGAGCUUUAUCCUGCUGGAAGGAGCCAUCAGAAGUUGGGCUGUGUGAUUAAUCAAAUUGCAGUCGCAAUUUGAAACGUUGCAAUUAGUUAAACACAUUAGGCUAUAAUAUAUAUAUAUACAUCACAGACACCUAACAAAAAUAGGUUAUUUUUAAGAGCUGUCACAGAAUUGUUGCCACAGCUUACAGAUUAUUGAGCAUUUGAGAUAUUGGUAAUCCCAAUAUCUGUCAAAAAAAAUCUCAAUUAGAUAUUUUCCCCAAAUUACACAGCCCUAAUUAGAAGAUGGAGACACUGUGGUCAUAAAGAGAUGGACAUGGUCAGCAACAAUACUCCGGUAGGCUGUGGCGUUGACACAAUGCUCAAUUGGUACUAAUGGAGCCAAAGUGUGCCAAGAAAAUCUCCCCCACACCAUUACACCACCACCACCAGCCUGAACCGCUGAUAUAAGGCAGGAUGAAUUCAUGCUUUCAUGAUGUUGAGGCCAAAUUCUGACUCGACCAUCUACAUGUGUCAGCAGAAAUGGAGACUCAUCAGAGCAGGCAACGUUUCUCCAAUCUUCUAUUGUCCAGUUUUGGUGAGUCUGUGUGAAUUGUAGCCUCAGUUUCCUGUUCUUAGCUGACAGGAGCGGCACCCGGUGUGCUCUUCUGCUGCUGUAGCCCAUCCGCCUCAAGGUUGGACGUGUUGUGUGUUCAGAGAUGCUCUUCUGCAGACCUCGGUUGUAACGAGUGCUUAUUUGAGUUACUGUUGCCUUUCUAUCAGCUGAAACCAGUCUGGCCAUUCUCCUCUGGCAACAGCAAGGCAUCAGAACUGCCGCUCACUGGAUAUUUUCUCUUUUCCAGACCAUUCUCUGUAAACCUUAGAGAUGGUUGUGUGUGAAAAUCCCAGUAGAUCAGCAGUUUCUGAAAUACUCAGCAGCCCGUCUGGCAGCAACAACCAUGCCAAGUUUAAAGUCGCUUAAAUCCCCUUUCUUCCCCAUUCUGAUGCUCAGUUUAAACUGCAGCAGAUCUUAUUGACCAUGUUUACAUGCCUAAAUGCGUUGACUUGCUGCCAUGUGAUUGGCUGAUUAGAAAUGUACGAUAAUGAUCUGUUUGACAGGUGUACCUAAUAAAGUGGCCGGUGUGUGUGUGUGUGUGUGUGUGUGUGUGUGUGUGUGUGUGUGUGUGUGUGUGUGUGUGUGUGUGUGUGUGUGUGUGUGUGUGUGUGUGUGUGAAUAAAUACAUUUAUAUAUUAGUAUAUAACUUAAAUGAAACCCUUUUGAAUAACAAAGUCUUAUCAAGUCUCUAAAAAAAGUUUGUUUGUGUAUUUAGAGACAUUUUAUCUUGGAAGUUUUUGACUUUUUCUGCCUCCUAAAUCAUACAUUAGAAGCAUCUGUAAAGUUUAAUUUCUAAAUAAAAGCUUUUUUUCAUCAUUUGACUACAGCAAUGCAGUGUAGGGAAUAAAUCAUGCUUAAACAGCGGCUGAAAAGUGCAGCGUCAUGCUUUUGCCUUUAAAAGCAUUGCAUUUGUCAUUUUUGAUUUCCACCUCCGUUUAAAGGUCGUCUGCAUGAAGUGGCGCUGGUGUUUCAUGUGUGUUUAGAGGGUUUUUGCUGUUAUCUGGCGCUCUGGGAACUCACAGCUGGAAAUCUGCUCUGGACUUUGAGCUCUCACGAGUUCAUUUCUGAGGAAUAGAAACUGAGAAGAGCUGGGAGGGAGGAUGAAGAGAGAGAGCGAGAGAGGGAGGAGGCAGCAAUGAUACCUUGAUUAAUAUGCAUGAACAAAUAUACACUUGAAGACCAAAUUCUUAUUCAAAUAUUACACUGUGCUGCUUAAUAGAGUAAGGGUAAUGUUCACAGUAUUUCCUGGUGUGUUUGUGUGUGUGUGUGUGCGUGCGUGCGUGUGUGUGCGUGUGUGCGUGUGUGUACUAGGGAUGCCUUGGUUCGAUCUCCACGGUACGACCUCCAUGGUUCAAUACGCGCUUGUGAAUUGCAGUUUUCUCUGUUUUUAUGUGCGUUUUAAUAUCUCCCCGAAAUGACUGUGUGUGCCUGUAAGUCCAUGAGCUGAGAUGAGGAAACUCCUUCUUGCGAGUAUUUAUCCAAUCACUAUGCUCUAAAGUAAGGGUGCGCUUGACCAUCAUUCCACACCUGUGUGUGUGUGUGUGUGUGUGUGUGUGUGUGUGUGUGUGUGUGUGUGUGUGUGUGUGUGUAUUUUUGAUAACUUUAAUAAUCCACAAUGCAUUUGUUCUUAACCAUUUAUUUUAAAAUUAAC